rnacentral:rRNA from 1 species
UACGGGGGGGGUAAGCGUUGUUCGGAAUUACUGGGCGUAAAGGGCUCGUAGGCGGCCAACUAAGUCAGACGUGAAAUCCCUCGAGCUAACUGGGGAACUGCGUCUGAUACUGGAUGGCUUGGAUCCGGAAGAGGGAUGCGGAAUUCCCAGUGUAGCGGUGAAAUGCGUAGAUAUUGGGAGGAACACCAGUGGCGAAGGCGGCUCACUGGACUGGUACUGACGCUGAUGCGCGAAAGCGUGGG